AUGAUGGACUAUAGGACAGGACUGCUGCUUCUAACUAUCUGCUGGACAGGUGUUGAUGGUCAGACUCUGACACAAUCUGAACCAGCGGUUAAAAAGCCUGGAGAAUCUCACAAACUGACCAGUACAGCCUCUGGAUUCACAUUCAGCAACCACUGGAUGGCCUGGGUCAGACAGGCUCCUGGAAAAGGACUGCAGUGGAUUGCUUUUAUCAAUACAGGUGGUGGUAGCACAUACUACUCUCAGUCAGUUGAAGGCCGGUUCACCAUCUCCAGAGAAAACAGCAGACAGCAGCUGUAUCUGCAGAUGAACAGUCUGAAGGCUGAAGAUUCUGCUGUUUAUUAUUGUGCUGGAGAGCCACAGUAA